GCAAAAGCCCUAUUUAGGGCUACCGAAAAAUAUUUUGUUGAAUUUAU
rfam:Picea glauca, whole genome shotgun sequence.